UGGACCAGUGAUGGCGACUGGUGUGAGUCAUGCACAGUGAAUAUCAUGUGUUGGGAACUCUGAGGUCCAA
rnacentral:snoRNA from 1 species